rnacentral:lncRNA from 1 species
GGUCUCUUAAAUGAUGCAAAGAGAAGGCGCAUAAGGGUAACUUAUACGAAAACGUAUGACCAAACGCAAGUGUUAAUUUCUUGACAGUAUGGUUCCUUGACAAAUGUAAAAUUAUUUGAUCAAGUUCAAAACAGUGGUAGGUUCCAAACGGGUUAAAGGUGAACUCGUGUAUUGGACCCUGGUGCAUUAACAGAACUUGGUGUAUAGCAUUGAAAAGUUUACACCUUUCGUCCAUGUUUUUCCGUGCACUUGCUAUGUCAGAUGGUAGCUUCUCUUUGUUUUUUCCUUUGGACAAAGUAGACGAACCAAACUCAAGUUUGGGAAUAGUGGUCCACUUGUACCUCCAUUCCCUAGAGAGGAUACUUGUCCGUGCUGCCUCUUGAAUAGUUUGGUGGUUAUGGGGAAGCGUUUGGUAAAAAACAUAGGAUGUUUUCUAUUAUGGUUUGAGGGAGUGUGUUGAUUAU